rnacentral:rRNA from 1 species
AAAUUGAAGAGUUUGAUCAUGGCUCAGAUUGAACGCUGGCGGCAGGCCUAACACAUGCAAGUCGAGCGGAAACGAGUUAUCAGAACCUUCGGGGGACGAUAACGGCGUCGAGCGGCGGACGGGGGAGUAAUGCCUAGGAAAUUGCCCUGAUGUGGGGGAUAACCAUUGGAAACGAUGGCUAAUACCGCAUGAUGCCUACGGGCCAAAGAGGGGGACCUUCGGGCCUCUCGCGUCAGGAUAUGCCUAGGUGG